AUUGAAAGUAGAAAACAAUCUUGCAAUUAGAAAGGUAUGGCGCCUUGCGUCCCAAUUCAUUUACGGCGUUUUACUUUAAUGAACAUGCAUCUUCUUUCUUGGCUGCUUGAACGCUGUAACUCUCUUCGGUAAUUUGACAAAAUUCCAGCGCUGCGUACACAUAUCCCCAGCCGAAAGAGUUUAUAAACAGAGGGCCACACGGUGGCCAGCUCGAUCCCAUCCAGUAAACCGACACUAUCCGGAGGGUUCAAAAUUAGAAAGUGGCAAUCUCACACAUCUUCGCCGCGCUCACUUCUUGGUUUCUCUCCAUUUUCGAGACAGGACGAUAUCCAAAAUCGCGAAUGAAAUUUUUAAGAAUGACACACUACCGCGAUUCAAAGACGCACGCUGGACACAUCGUACUCGUCCUCGGAAAAUGUUCUGCCCAAAUGCGGUGUGCGAACGAGAGAGUGAGCGUUAUGGAAAUCAAGAAGAAAGAGAAAGAGGUAGAACGAGGGGCAACGAGUCGACAGAAUUUUUUCUUACUUAGGUCAAACGACAGGUGCACACAAUAUGCACCCUACCGUGCUGUAAGGCCGAGUAACCCUCGCCCAAGUCGCAAGAAAAGUGAAACUCAAGAGAUUGCCAGAGCAAAUUGUGAGGAGUACACAACGCAACGUUUUAUCUGUGUGAGGAAUCAUCGUCAGAUGACUGCGACCCCGUGUCCUACGAAGAUGUAAUAGCUUUCUGCCCGUAAUCAAUAAUAUUGAUCGUGAUAGGCAUUCAUCUCGAUAACAUUUUACCGGAAUAACGUAGUGUCAGUGAUUCGAUCUGCAACGAUGCUGUGCUACUUUACAUAUCUAUGUCAAAUUAGAACACGCAAAUCAUCGAAUAACCGAGCUACUUGCGCAUUUCCUUCUUUGCGACUCCUUUCAAUUUCUCCAAGUAAAUCAGAAAACACACCUCAAUGAAUUAAUUAGUGAAAUAUUUCGGAUAUUAGCAAUUAUAUAAUAACAGCUGCGACAAUUUAUAAUUUUUCUAAAAAAAAAUUGUACAUAGAGCUACUCUUUGCAACGUAGUGAAUAAAUACUUUAACAAACA